CUCUAAGGAGUGGAGCCCAUCACCGCCAUCGUUGUUCCGCUACUAGAAGGUAUUCCACUGUUACGAGUUGUUCCACUGCUAGCAUAGAGUGACUUUAGCAGGCGUAGUGUCAUCAUGCCGAUGUAAUCCUUUGUAAUAUCCGAACCCUUGUACCCUGAUUAAUUGUAACAAAAAGCUGAUUUGUUCUAUGCUAAGAGUGUCAUAUUCGAGAAGACUUGAUCUCUAGGCUAGAAUAUGGACGUUCCGGUUCCUCUGAUCCGGGGUGCCACAACGCUUGAUAUCAGAGCAGGUUCGGCUGUAGGACGCCCUACUCUGCGCGAGCGUUAGAAACCGAUAGUAUAGAAUGUAGUCGGUUUACUGCAUUUGGUUGUUGCAUAGCAUGCAUAUGGACUUAUUAUCUUGUCGCUAACAAUUGAUCUUGUGAGUGUAGGUGGCAUUGGUUUUGAUCCACUACCUGCACCCUCCAGUUUUAUAUACCUGCUCUUUGGUGUUUGGUGUUUGGUGCCGAUCACCGGUGAUGAAGAUAUGAUAUGUCCAUUUUCCCUUGAAGGAAAGGGCAUGCGUUUGACUUUCUCGUAAAAUUAUCUUAUCCUUUUAGUCAUGUAACGUCGGUGUUUAUAUGCCUUCUAACAAAAUCUUUAUUUUAUUAUUAUGAAACACAUAUUA
rnacentral:lncRNA from 1 species